UACGUAGGGCGCAAGCGUUAUCCGGAAUUAUUGGGCGUAAAGAGCUCGUAGGCGGUUUGUCGCGUCUGCCGGUGAAAGUCCGGGCUCAACUCCGGAUCUGCGGUGGGUACGGGCAGACUAGAGUGAUGUAGGGGAGACUGGAAUUCCUGGUGUAGCGGUGAAAUGCGCAGAUAUCGGGAGGAACACCAGUGGCGGAAGGCGACUUCCUGGCCUGUUCUUGACGCUGAGGCGGCGAAAGCUAGGGGAGCAAACGGG
rnacentral:rRNA from 1 species